rnacentral:rRNA from 1 species
AGAGUUUGAUCAUGGCUCAGAAUGAACGCUGGCGGCACGCUUAACACAUGCAAGUCGAACGAGAUCUUCGGAUCUAGUGGCAGACGGGUGAGUAACGCGUGGGAACCUGCCCAGUAGUAGAGAAUAACUUGGGGAAACUUAAGCUAAUACUUUAUACGUCCUUCGGGAGAAAGCUUUAUGCGCUAUUGGAUGGGCCCGCGUUAGAUUAGUUUGUUGGUGAGGUAACGGCUCACCAAGGCGACGAUCCAUAGUUGGUCUGAGAGGAUGAUCAGCCACACUGGGACUGAGACACGGCCCAGACUCCUACGGGAGGCAGCAGUGGGGAAUAUUGGACAAUGGGGGCAACCCUGAUCCAGCGAUGCCGCGUGAGUGAUGAAGGCCCUAGGGUUGUAAAACUCUUUCGUCAGGGAAGAUAAUGACGGUACCUGAAGAAGAAGAUCCGGCUAACUCCGUGCCAGCAGCCGCGGUAAUACGGAGGGGUCUAGCGUUAUUCGGAAUUACUGGGCGUAAAGCGAGCGUAGGCGGAUUUGUAAGUUGGAGGUGAAAUCCCAGAGCUUAACUCUGGAACUGCCUUCAAAACUACAUUUCUUGAGUUUGGUAGAGGAGAGUGGAAUUCCUAGUGUAGAGGUGAAAUUCGUAGAUAUUAGGAGGAACACCAGUGGCGAAGGCGACUCUCUGGGCCAAUACUGACGCUGAGGUUCGAAAGCAUGGGUAGCGAACAGGAUUAGAUACCCUGGUAGUCCAUGCAGUAAACGAUGAGUGCUAGAUGUUGGGAAUUUAAAUUUCCAGUAUCGCAGUUAACGCGUUAAGCACUCCGCCUGGGAAGUACGGCCGCAAGGCUAAAACUCAAAUGAAUUGACGGGGACCCGCACAAGCGGUGGAUCAUGUGGUUUAAUUCGAAGAUACGCGAAGAACCUUACCGGCCCUUGACAUACCAAUCGCGGACUUAAGAGAUUAAGUCUUUCACUUCGGGUGGAUUGGAUACAGGUGCUGCAUGGCUGUCGUCAGCUCGUGUCGU